GGGAGCAGGAUGCACAGAAACGUUGGCACGCCGUGUCUUUUGUUUGAAGCAUGUUACUGGCAUCAGAUUUAGAAGAAGCAUGAUAUAUUUUACAAAACCCAAUUAGUGGAUGAGGCUAAAUUUAGUCUUUUUAAAAGGAGCAUGAUCAUCCCAUGGAUCUCAAAAAAGGCCAUUGUAAUUGUCAUUAUUUGCGCAGCCAUUGAAGACCAAAACAUUUUCCAUUCUGUGUUGAUGAUUUUACUGUACGUGGUGACGAGAUGCUACUAUGAGAGGAAAACAAACAUUCAUUUGCAUUUUGAGGCCUGGGACUUUGUACCCAAAGAGUUUCACAGCGAUGGACAUGAGCAGGCCGCAGUGAUUUCUGUAGCAGCAGGUGGCGUCUACUACCAGGAACACCACCAGGAAGAUGACCAUGACGACGCCGAUCACACUGCCUUUAGUCAUACUGCGGCUGUUCACUUUGAGGGAGAGAUGGGAGAGUCAAGUGCUGCAGAGGACUUCCACCAUCAUCACUCUGUUUAACAGGGACAGAGAAAGAGUUGCGUUCUACUUUCAUCUCAUCAGCCGUCAAAACUGGACUGUCUGGUUCACCUGCAGACAGAGGACAGAGAGAAUGAUAAGAACUGAUGACCACAAACAAUAAUAACUCAUAUUUGUACAUAUGUAGGCUACAUGCAGAUUGACUGAACAUGUCUGUUUAUGGUUUCAUAGUUUAGUAGAUCACUGUGUGUACUUUACCCUCUGAGGACGGAUGACAGCAGAUCACACGGCGUCAUCAGCGUCGUGAAUGAUCAUCAGGCGGCAGAUGUUGAUGUUACAGAAGCGUGUCAUGAUUGACAACUGCAAAGCCUCUCUGAAAAACAAAGGUUUUACCUGAGGCUGGGACCAUGGCUUCCUUCCACUGUUCUGCUGCACUUUGCCUCCACUGUAGAGCAAAAUGUGUGAUCGGUGUCCCUCCACUGAUGGGCAGAGUUUUGAGGGAGAAGAGGACUGAGGACGGUUCAGAGGUGCUGAUAGCCAUGCAGGAAUACAGUCCACCAUCAGAGGGCAACACCUCCUCAAUCACCAACGCACCAUCAACAACACGGACAUGACCAGAGGAGGCCUGACAGAGGGAGGCACAAAGGAAAUAUCCAGUCAUAU